GAGUUUUGAGGGGAUCGAUCGGCGGGUUCGGAUUAAGCCUGUUUGGGAUACCCGUUUAAGUGAGGAAAUGUUUAUUAUAUAAAUUCCUUUUUCUUUUUCUUUAUUUCCUUCUUCCCCAAAACCGCCGAUCCACCUUCUCUUCCCCGACCCUUCUUCUCGAUCUCUUCUCCUCUCCACCGAAUCUCUCUCGCGUUGUCGCCGAUCUCCGCGAGCUCACCGCCGGCGGAGGUUUUCCUCUCUGGAGUCUCACCAACGUCAGGGUCCCUGGCUACCGGGCGGCUCGAUCCUCUCCUCCCUCCUCCUCUCAUGUCUCUGCCCUAGAUCACCGACGCACCAGUUCUUGGCGAUUGGCGAUUCUUUCCCCGUCUCUUGGUGUUGCCGGCGAGGAGUGGAUCUUGGAGCUUCGAAGGGGUUAAAGCUAAGUCGGGUCUUUGGUCGUAGAUCCCUUUCUCCUUGUUGAUUGAGGGGCAGAGGAAUUCCGGGAACAUAGAAUCGAAUCGGGCGACACCUCCUGCAGACAAUCGGUUGAGUGAGGACCUGCUCUGUGGAUUUCAAAUUGAAUGCUGUGAGUUCUUGAUUCCAGCAAUUUCUUGGUCUCGGUAGCAACAAUCCUCUUGUCCCAAUAGCCACAGUAGCUGUGGAAUUGAGGUAUGGUUUUGAUCUUGCUGUAGGUUAGUUAAUUUAGGUUUAUGAUAUGAAUUAGAGUAAUUGAUCCAUGUGGUAGAUCAUAUUUAGAUUUACGGUUAUGAUAGGUGUUUAUGUGUAUGUUUGAUUGGAGGUUGUAAUUAGAUUUAGAUGGUGAUUAGUAUGAUGGUUAGUGUAUCGUUAGUUGAUACAUGAUGUGUAGAUUUGAAUUAGGAGUAAUUGGAUUACUAGUUGUUGAUUAUGAUUAGAUUUAUUUACGUAGAUUUAAUCUAAUGGAAU